rnacentral:rRNA from 1 species
AUGGCUCGCAUGGCGGCGUGGGUGCUAGCGAUCCUGCUCGCCUCUUGUGCCUUUGCGUUGGCGACCUUCGACAAGGAGUUCGACGUCACCUGGGGUGACGGGCGCGGCAAGAUCCUCAACAACGGCCAGCUCCUCACGCUGGGGCUCGAUAAGAUCUCCGGCUCCGGGUUCCAGUCCAAGCACGAGUACCUCUUCGGCAAGAUCGACAUGCAGCUCAAGCUCGUCCCCGGCAACUCCGCCGGCACCGUCACCGCAUACUACGUAAUUAAGCCGACAUCAUCUGCUUCUCGAUUUGCUUGGUUCAUGUGCGUGCCUAACAUAACUCGAUUGGUUUGGCGUAUGAAUGUGCAGCUGUCGUCGCAGGGUCCGACGCACGACGAGAUCGACUUCGAGUUCCUGGGCAACGUCACCGGCGAGCCCUACACGCUGCACACCAACGUGUUCACGCAGGGGCAGGGCCAGCGGGAGCAGCAGUUCCGCCUCUGGUUCGAUCCCACCAACGACUUCCACACCUACUCCAUCCUCUGGAACCCAAAGCACAUCAUAUUCAUGGUGGACGACAUGCCGAUCAGGGACUACAAGAACCUGGAGGGAAAGGGGAUCGCCUUCCCCAAGAACCAGCCGAUGCGGCUCUACUCCAGCCUCUGGAACGCCGACGACUGGGCCACGCAGGGCGGCCGCGUCAAGACGGACUGGUCCCACGCCCCGUUCUCCGCCUCGUACCGCGGCUUCAAGGCCGACGCGUGCGUGGUGACCGCGGGAGGCCGGCCGCGCUGCGGCGCCAGCGUCGGCACGGAGGUCGCCCCCGGCACCGGCGCGGCGGGCGAGUGGUACAACCAGGAGCUGGACCUGACGCGGCAGCAGCGGAUGCGGUGGGUGCAGAGGAACUACAUGAUCUACAACUACUGCACGGACCCCAAGCGCGUCGCCAAGGGCGUCCCCGCCGAGUGCUCCAUGUAG